rnacentral:lncRNA from 1 species
CGUCCUUUCAAAGUGUGAUUGAUCUCAACUGCUAAUUUGAGAUCAAACAAUUCAAUUUCAAAUUUGAAGCUCAGUUUUGUAGUAAUACGAUCUCAACUGUCCAUAUCAAACCGCUCAUAUUUGUUAGAGCUUCGUGUUGUAACAUCAGGAAAUCCAAUUCGGGAUGACACUGACCCCUGCUAAACCACUUUCAACCAUGGUAAUUAAGUUCCUCGAAAGGUUGUCACAGGUAUCCCAAUGACAGUGUGACAUGUGUCCAUGUUCGAUGACAUCAAUGUCGUUAUCUCCAAUCUGACGGAGAUGUUGAUUAUGGCAUGUCCCCUGGAACCGUCUUUACCUCGUAGCCGGUAACUCAGGUACCGAACUGAGCCAGGUGUAAGAAGGCCGAUAUCUGAAGCCGGAAUAAAACACCACCCAAGUUGAGCCUGCCCCAUGAUUCUUCUCUUGGUGAAAACCUGAAGGUAUAGACAGGAAGAUGGGUCUGAAAAGAAGGUAGGAUCGAGUGGUACAUGGAACAUGUUAAUAUUAUCACAUGCCUUAGGUGGUGUUGAGGUGGCUGGUGGGAAUUUGGUGAGUGUGAUGAAGGGUUUUAUGGUAGGGUUGAGAUAGGAGGUAUAGUUGUUUAGGCCUUCUGUUGAUAUAAGGGUUAGUUCUAAUAUUACGGUCAUGAUGAUAAGUCAUCAAGAAAUUGAGUAUUAAGUUAACAAUGGAGUAAUAAGAAUAGAGUUAAGGAUUUUUCAAAAUAUAAGAGGGUUGAUGACUGAGGAGGGUGGAAAGAUCAAGUUCAAUAGUCACUGUGCAGUUUCCACGCUGUUGGCAGGAAUUUAAAUCCAAUCAUCAGGCUUGUGGAAAUUUUAGUUUUCAGACUUCAAAUUCCAAAUGUCAACUAUAGUGCCUAGUGUAGUGUGACAUAUGAGUAUGAGAAAAAUUUAAAAUAGAUGAUACUAGUAUCAUUCCUAGAUCAGCACCCCACCACAAAAUAUCAAAAA